AAAAAAACUUUAUUCAACUAAAAACAUCGACAAACUACUACCUUAAAAUCCGAACUCCCCGAAUACACAAUUUCUAUCCCUUUUAAAAACUCACAACACUAAAAAUUUCACAUAAAAAAAUCGUAAUUAAUUUAAACAAACAAAAAAUACGUAACAAAAACUACAUACACCGAUAAUCAAAAAAAAACAAAACACGACAAAAAAUUUCAU
rnacentral:misc_RNA from 1 species